rnacentral:rRNA from 1 species
GACGAACGCUGGCGGCGUGCUUAACACGUGCAAGUCGAACGGAAAGGCCCUGCUUUUGUGGGGUGCUCGAGUGGCGAACGGGUGAUUAACACGUGAGUAACCUGCCCUUGACUUUGGGAUAACUUCAGGAAACUGGGGCUAAUACCGGAUAGGAGCUCCUGCUGCAUGGUGGGGGUUGGAAAGUUUCGGCGGUUGGGGAUGGACUCGCGGCUUACCAGCUUGUUGGUGGGGUAGUGGCUUACCAAGGCUUUGACGGGUAGCCGGCCUGAGAGGGUGACCGGCCACAUUGGGACGGAGAUACGGCACAGACUCCUACGGGAGGCAGAAGUGGGGAAUAUUGCACAAUGGGCGGAAGCCUGAUGCAGCAACGCCGCGUGCGGGAUGACGGCAUUCGGGUUGUAAACCGCUUUCGCCUGUGACGAAGCGUGAAUGACGGUAAUGGGUAAAGAAGCACCGGCUAACUACGUG